UUCCAUUUCACUUCCACUCACAAUUUUCUGAAAUGUCUGGGGCUUGUUCAUUCCCCUUCCCCAGUAUCAAAAUCCCCUCCACUUCCUCCUCACCGGCCGCCACCUCCGCUGCCGCUUCUUCCUCCGCCUCCACCUCCUCUUCAGCUUCUUCUUCAUCCUCCCUCCGAUUCUCCUCCUCCAAGCCUUUCCUCUUCACCAUUCGAAGCUCUCAGACCGAAGGCCCUCUUCGGAGACCCUCCGCUCCUUCUCUCAGAGACCCCUCCCCGCCCUCUCCCCCUUCCC
rnacentral:lncRNA from 1 species